rnacentral:rRNA from 1 species
AACGAACGCUGGCGGCAUGCCUAACACAUGCAAGUCGAACGAGACCUCCGGGUCUAGUGGCGCACGUCUACGUGACGCCUGGGAACCUGCCCUUAGGUUCCGUAUCACUCCCCGAAAGGGGUGCUAAUAACGCUUAAUCUAUUCGGGCCAAGGAUCUUUCGCGUUUGGAUGGGCCCUCGUUGGUUUCGCCAGUUGGUAGUGUACAAGCCUACCAUGGGCACGAUCCAUAGCUGGUAUGAUAGGAGGAUUAGGAACGCUGGGAAUGCGGCACGGCCCAGACGCCUACGGGAGGGAGCAGUGGAGAAUAUUGGACGAGGGGCGAAAGCCUGAUCCAGCAAUGCCGCGUGAGUGAUGAAGGCCUUAGUGUUGUAAAGCUCUUUUACCCGGGAUGAUAGUGACGGUACCGGGAGAAUAAGCACCGGCUAACUCCGUG